UACGUAGGGGGCGAGCGUUGUCCGGAUUUACUGGGCGUAAAGAGCGCGUAGGCGGAGCGUUAAGUCCGGUCUGAAAGCCCCCGGCUCAACCGGGGAAGGUGGCUGGAAACUGGCGUUCUUGAGGGCGAUAGAGGCGGGGCGGAAUUCCUGGUGUAGCGGUGAAAUGCGUAGAGAUCAGGAGGAACACCCGUGGCGAAGGCGGCCCGCUGGGUCGACCCUGACGCUGAGGCGCGAAAGCGUGGGGAGCGAACAGG
rnacentral:rRNA from 1 species